rnacentral:rRNA from 1 species
UGCGAAGGGGGCUAGCGUUGCUCGGAAUUACUGGGCGUAAAGCGCACGUAGGCGGCUCUUUAAGUCGGGGGUGAAAUCCUGGAGCUCAACUCCAGAACUGCCUUCGAUACUGUAGAGCUUGAGUUCGGGAGAGGUGAGUGGAACUGCGAGUGUAGAGGUGAAAUUCGUAGAUAUUCGCAAGAACACCAGUGGCGAAGGCGGCUCACUGGCCCGAUACUGACGCUGAGGUGCGAAAGCGUGGGGAGCAAACAGG